CCCCUCCCCUUUCCCACUUCCUCUUGGAGAAAGUCAUCCAGCUGACAAGGGGCUGAGUCAAGAACCAGGGUGUUUGUAAACAUCCCUUGAAUGAAAACACAUGGACCUUUUGGGAGACAAAGUUUCCUAGUAUGGAACUUUCUACUUGGGAUACCAUAGUGGCACUCGAAAACUUUCAGAUUUUGGAUGUUUGGGUUAUGGAUGUUAAAGUGCUGUCAUCCAAAAGCAAGAUAUGAGGACACUGAGGGACAGAGAGCAGAGUGGGCUUCCAGGAGGGACAGGAACUCUGAUGGGGAGCAGGAGAAUCCAGAAAGCAUCCGUGUACUUCACAUGCAAGGACGACCCAGAAGGAGGGACUGAGGCAAAGACACAGAAAGACACAGAAAGCAAGGCAAGCCCUGUGACACUCAACAAGUGACUUGUGAUCUCUCUUCACUAGUGGAUAAUAACUUGGCCCUGGUAGGGCUGCUGCCCAUGUUCAGUGGGUCACUAUAUGGAAAAUGCUUGAAACAGAUCUUGGUCUACACAUCCAAUACCUGCUGUUCAUCACAUCAUUGGCAACAUCUUGGAAACAUCCCUUAGGACCAAAAAGACUGGAUUUGAUUCAAGCUAUAAUUUUGAAAAGCCUGAGAGUUCUCUGCAGGACCAGCUGAUUGCAGUACUUGUCUGCAAUCUUUAAGUGCCCGAGCACCUGCGGUAUCACGUUGUUUAGUCUCAAUUAGGGCGUGGAGCGCAUCUAACCAAGCAUUCCAAGUUUGCGACUCAUUUUACAGAUGGAAUCUGUACUCCAGAGUGGGGGGUUACCGGCACUGCUGUUACCACCUCUCUGUCAGCACCCUCCCACCCCACAGCCAGAAUUUUGAGCUUCAGAAACGGGUUUUGAUUGGUGGAAGGCUUGACUACUGAUCGUGUGCUGAGCAGAACUGGAGUAUUCAAAAAUACUGACUGGCUAAAAGCAUUGUAAUGUAAAAGUCUUGGUGAAGCCUUUGCCUGUCUGGUGAUCACCAUCAAGACCUUGUCUGAAUCUCUUCAUGGCCUCUGGCCAGCCCUGAGGUCCGAGGGACUCUGCUUGCCUGAUGCGGCCUACUAGGGUAACAGAAUCUGCCACUGGCAUCUUGUGUCUGCCUCCAGCUGUGGCCGAAGCAUCUGAAAGAAAAGCGAACAGCUGGGGCAUCUUCAAGCCCGCACACAGUUCAUAGGAACUGAUUGGGGAGCACAUCCUCCCGGAACAGUGAGUGAGGAAAUACAUGGACUCAUAUGUGAGUACUGGUCAAUUCAUUCAUUUCCCGAAGGUGACAGACUGCCCCUCCUUGACUGCUCUCUCACAGCAUCUUCUACUGUCGCGUCAUCCUUGUUAAUGGUAUGGAGACACCGAACUUAGACACCUAGAUGCUGAGUUGCA